CACCGCGGUUAUACGAGAGACCCAAGUUGACAGAUCACCGGCGUAAAGCGUGGUUAGUUAAAUUAUAAACUAAAGUUGAAUGCUCUCAAAGCUGUUAUACGUGCUUGGGAACCAGAAAGCCCCCCACGAAAGUGACUUUAUUUUACUGAACCCACGAAAGCUAAGACA
rnacentral:rRNA from 1 species